rnacentral:rRNA from 1 species
UUGCACAGGUGCUGCAUGGCUGUCGUCAGCUCGUGUCGUGAGAUGUUCGGUUAAGUCCGCUAACGAGCGCAACCCUCGUCGUAUGUUAUAUGUGUCUAUACGAGACUGCCGGUAAAAGCCGGAGGAAGGUGAGGAUGAUGUCAAGUCAGCAUGACCUUUAUAUCCAGGGCUACACACACGCUACAAUGGUCUGUACAAUGGGUAGCCAAGCCGCGAGGCGGAGCCAAUCCUGAAAGCAGGCCUCAGUUCAGAUUGCAGUCUGCAACUCGACUGCAUGAAGCCGGAGUUGCUAGUAACCGCAGGUCAGCAAUACUGCGGUGAAUACGUUCCCGAGUCUU